rnacentral:rRNA from 1 species
GAUGAACGCUGGCGGCGUGCCUAAUACAUGCAAGUCGAGCGAACAGACGAGGAGCUUGCUCCUCUGACGUUAGCGGCGGACGGGUGAGUAACACGUGGAUAACCUACCUAUAAGACUGGGAUAACUUCGGGAAACCGGAGCUAAUACCGGAUAACAUGUUGAACCGCAUGGUUUAACAGUGAAAGACGGUCUUGCUGUCACUUAUAGAUGGAUCCGCGCCGCAUUAGCUAGUUGGUAAGGUAACGGCUUACCAAGGCUACGAUGCGUAGCCGACCUGAGAGGGUGAUCGGCCACACUGGAACUGAGACACGGUCCAGACUCCUACGGGAGGCAGCAGUAGGGAAUAUUGCGCAAUGGGCGAAAGCCUGACGGAGCAACGCCGCGUGAGUGAAGAAGGUCUUCGGAUCGUAAAACUCUGUUAUUAGGGAAGAACAAAUGUGUAAGUAACUAUGCACGUCUUGACGGUACCUAAUCAGAAAGCCACGGCUAACUACGUG